GGCUCCGAUGGUCUAGUGGCUAGAGCGUCCGCCUCGAAUGUGGGAGGUUGUGGGUUCAAUUCCCGGUCGAGUUA